GGUUUGUGGCUCAGUGGUAGAGUGCUCGCUUAGCAUGCAUGAGGCAUUGGGUUUGAUCCUCAGCACCA
rnacentral:tRNA from 1 species